rnacentral:tRNA from 1 species
GCUGAAAUAACUCAGUUGGGAGAGCGUUAGACUGAAGAUCUAAAGGUCACUGGUUCAAUCCCGGGUUUCGGCA